rnacentral:rRNA from 1 species
UACGAACCGUACAAACGUUAUUCGGACUCACUGGGCUUAAAGGGUGCGUAGGCGGCCCUGUACGUGAGGUGUGAAAUCCCUCGGCUCAACCGAGGAACUGCGCUUCAUACUGCAUGGCUUGAGAGAGACAGGGGUAAGCGGAACUGAUGGUGGAGCGGUGAAAUGCGUUGAUAUCAGCAGGAACACCGGUGGCGAAAGCGGCUUACUGGGUCUCUUCUGACGCUGAGGUACGAAAGCUAGGGGAGCGAACGGG